CAAUAAACUGUGUAGGAGUUCAUGAUUGCAAUAGAAUAAAAUCGACCAAGCCUGAAGUCAGCAGCCCCUUCAAUGAAUGCAGCAGUGUGACAGCCAGCAAUCAAAAGUUACAAGAUAUCGAGGAAAUGCAGAUGGCAAUAAACUGUGUAGGAGUUUAUGAUUGCAAUAGAAUAAAAUCGACCAAGCCUGAAGUCAGCAGCCCCUUCAAUGAAUGCAGCAGUGUGACAGCCAGCAAUCAAAAGUAACAAGAUAUCGAGGAAAUGCAGAAGGCAAAAAACUGCGUAGGAGAUCAUUAAUACAAUAGUAUUAUAUAAACCAAGCCUGAUGUUGGCCGCUCAUUCAAAGAAUGCAGCAGUGUGACAGCCAGCAAUC